rnacentral:rRNA from 1 species
ACGACGCUGGCGGCGUGCCUAAUACAUGCAAGUUGAACGCUUGAUUUUCUACCGAAGCUUGCUUCACCGAAAAUACAAGAGUAGCGAACGGGUGGAGUAACGCGUGGGUAACCGUACCUAUCAGCGGGGGAGUAACUAUUGGUAAACGAAUAGCUAAUACCGCAUGACAAUUGAGAUUGCAUAAUCUUAAUUUGAAAGUACCAAUUGGUACACUGAGAGAUGGACCCGCGUUGUAUUAGCUAGUUGGUAGUGUAAUGGACUACCAAGGCGAUGAUACAUAGCCGACCUGAGAGGGUGAUCGGCCACAUUGGGACUGAGACACGGCCCAAACUCCUACGGGAGGCAGCAGUAGGGAAUCUUCGGCAAUGGACGAAAGUCUGACCGAGCAACGCCGCGUGAGUGAAGAAGGUUUUCGGAUCGUAAAACUCUGUUGUUAGAGAAGAACGUUGCAUAGAGUGGAAAGUUAUGCAAGUGACGGUAUCUAACCAGAAAGGGACGGCUAACUACGUG